rnacentral:rRNA from 1 species
UACGUAGGGGGCAAGCGUUGUUCGGAAUUACUGGGCGUAAAGCGUGCGCAGGCGGUGAUGUAAGUCAGAUGUGAAAUCCCCGGGCUCAACCUGGGAACUGCAUUUGUGACUGCACGGCUGGAGUGCGGCAGAGGGGGAUGGAAUUCCGCGUGUAGCGGUGAAAUGCGUAGAUAUGCGGAGGAACACCGAUGGCGAAGGCAAUCCCCUGGGCCUGCACUGACGCUCAUGCACGAAAGCGUGGGGAGCAAACAGG